AGAGUUCCGUGUCUGACGUCUAUCAGCUUAAGGUGGACAGCAGCACCAACUCAAGCCCCAGCCCCCAGCAGAGUGAGUCCCUGAGCCCAGCACACACCUCCGACUUCCGCACGGAUGACUCCCAGCCCCCAACGCUGGGCCAGGAGAUCCUGGAGGCCCUCCCUGCCCUCCUCGGAAGUUGCUGAUGAACCUCCUACCCUCACCAAGGAAGAACCAGUUCCACUAGAGACACAGGUCGUUGAGGAAGAGGAAGACUCAGGUGCCCCGCCCCUGAAGCGCUUCUGUGUGGACCAACCCACAGUGCCGCAGACGGCGUCAGAAAGCUAGCACCAUCCCGGCCCUCCGCCUCCUGGCCCUGCCUCUAUUUAUUGCAUUCUGGUUCUGGCCGCGCCGCGUUGCUGGGGUAAGGGCAAGCACUGGGGUCAAGAGCCUGCACACAUGAGCCUUCCGGGCUGGAAGGCUGGCGUAGGACUUGGGGCUGUAGCAUCAUCUUCCUGACCCUGGCACCUGUGUCUACUUGCUCCCGAGAAGAGGAGCGCUCAUGUCUUUUUUGCACCCCAAGUUGGCUGGAGCAUCGGCCACCCCAAGAUUCAUCUGUGACCUCCAGGCAGCAGUCUCUGCUCCAGAAUCUCUGGACGGAGCUGCUGGCAGCUUCUGCGAGAAGAGAGAGAUGUGGAAGGCACCUUCUAGAAGAGAGCGUGCCUCAGGUUACUUGAACUUGAACGGAGACUGUAGACUCCCGGACUUUCCCCUAGGACUGGGGGCCCUGUAGGCUGCUGUUGGAGGACUGGGUAGAGACAUUGGAGGGAAGGGAAGGGCUUUUCUCCACACAAGGGCAGAGAGUCCGUCUAGAUUUCUUGCUGUCCUGCCAGCUCUGCCCAUGCCUGAGGUGGUCCUACCUCUCACGGGCACCCUAGCUGCUGACAGCCCUUUGUGGCCGCCGUCCCCAUCCCCUGCCCUCAGCACACACAUCUGCACACACGCAGCUUUGUUCUCACCUCUACCUGUCAUUCCAGCAUCCCUGCCUCUUGUCACAAACUGCCCCAGCAAGAAUUUGAGGUUCUGACAACAGUACCCAUCCCCCACAGUACCCCUUCAGCUCAGUUUCUAGAAAGCUCCCUUUUCUUUGAAAUCUGCAUGUUGAAUUGAACUUUGUGAUUUUAUUUUUUGUUUCAAAAAAGUUUAAGAAAAUGGAAAUGGGCAACAGUGAGUGAAGACAUAUUUUAGCACUGAAUAGAAUAUUUUUAAAAUUAAACUAUUUGAA
rnacentral:lncRNA from 1 species